rnacentral:rRNA from 1 species
GGGUUGUGAGGUUAAGCGACUAAGCGUACACGGUGGAUGCCCUGGCAGUCAGAGGCGAUGAAGGACGUGCUAAUCUGCGAAAAGCGUCGGUAAGGUGAUAUGAACCGUUAUAACCGGCGAUGUCCGAAUGGGGAAACCCAGUGUGAUUCGUCACACUAUCGUUAACUGAAUACAUAGGUUAACGAGGCGAACCGGGGGAACUGAAACAUCUAAGUACCCCGAGGAAAAGAAAUCAACCGAGAUUCCCCCAGUAGCGGCGAGCGAACGGGGAGCAGCCCAGAGUCUGAAUCAGCUUGUGUGUUAGUGGAACGGUCUGGAAAGUCCGACGGUACAGGGUGAUAGUCCCGUACACCAAAAUGCACAGGUUGUGAACUCGAAGAGUAGGGCGGGACACGUGGUAUCCUGUCUGAAUAUGGGGGGACCAUCCUCCAAGGCUAAAUACUCCUGACUGACCGAUAGUGAACCAGUACCGUGAGGGAAAGGCGAAAAGAACCCCGGCGAGGGGAGUGAAAAAGAACCUGAAACCGUGUACGUACAAGCAGUGGGAGCACCUUCGGGUGUGACUGCGUACCUUUUGUAUAAUGGGUCAGCGACUUAUAUUCUGUAGCAAGGUUAACCGUAUAGGGGAGCCGCAGGGAAACCGAGUCUUAACUGGGCGUUAAGUUGCAGGGUAUAGACCCGAAACCCGGUGAUCUAGCCAUGGGCAGGUUGAAGGUUGGGUAACACUAACUGGAGGACCGAACCGACUAAUGUUGAAAAAUUAGCGGAUGACUUGUGGCUGGGGGUGAAAGGCCAAUCAAACCGGGAGAUAGCUGGUUCUCCCCGAAAGCUAUUUAGGUAGCGCCUCGUGAACUCAUCUUCGGGGGUAGAGCACUGUUUCGGCUAGGGGGUCAUCCCGACUUACCAACCCGAUGCAAACUACGAAUACCGAAGAAUGUUAUCACGGGAGACACACGGCGGGUGCUAACGUCCGUCGUGAAGAGGGAAACAACCCAGACCGCCAGCUAAGGUCCCAAAGUCAUGGUUAAGUGGGAAACGAUGUGGGAAGGCACAGACAGCCAGGAUGUUGGCUUAGAAGCAGCCAUCAUUUAAAGAAAGCGUAAUAGCUCACUGGUCGAGUCGGCCUGCGCGGAAGAUGUAACGGGGCUAAACCAUGCACCGAAGCUGCGGCAGCGACACUAUGUGUUGUUGGGUAGGGGAGCGUUCUGUAAGCCUGCGAAGGUGACCUGUGAGGGUUGCUGGAGGUAUCAGAAGUGCGAAUGCUGACAUAAGUAACGAUAAAGCGGGUGAAAAGCCCGCUCGCCGGAAGACCAAGGGUUCCUGUCCAACGUUAAUCGGGGCAGGGUGAGUCGACCCCUAAGGCGAGGCCGAAAGGCGUAGUCGAUGGGAAACAGGUUAAUAUUCCUGUACUUGGUGUUACUGCGAAGGGGGGACGGAGAAGGCUAUGUUAGCCGGGCGACGGUUGUCCCGGUUUAAGCAUGUAGGCUGGUUGUCCAGGCAAAUCCGGAUAAUCAAGGCUGAGGUGUGAUGACGAGGCACUACGGUGCUGAAGUAACAAAUGCCCUGCUUCCAGGAAAAGCCUCUAAGCAUCAGGUAACAUCAAAUCGUACCCCAAACCGACACAGGUGGUCAGGUAGAGAAUACCAAGGCGCUUGAGAGAACUCGGGUGAAGGAACUAGGCAAAAUGGUGCCGUAACUUCGGGAGAAGGCACGCUGGUGUGUAGGUGAAGUCCCUGCGGAUGGAGCUGAGACCAGUCGAAGAUACCAGCUGGCUGCAACUGUUUAUUAAAAACACAGCACUGUGCAAACACGAAAGUGGACGUAUACGGUGUGACGCCUGCCCGGUGCCGGAAGGUUAAUUGAUGGGGUUAUCCGUAAGGAGAAGCUCUUGAUCGAAGCCCCGGUAAACGGCGGCCGUAACUAUAACGGUCCUAAGGUAGCGAAAUUCCUUGUCGGGUAAGUUCCGACCUGCACGAAUGGCGUAAUGAUGGCCAGGCUGUCUCCACCCGAGACUCAGUGAAAUUGAACUCGCUGUGAAGAUGCAGUGUACCCGCGGCAAGACGGAAAGACCCCGUGAACCUUUACUAUAGCUUGACACUGAACAUUGAGCCUUGAUGUGUAGGAUAGGUGGGAGGCUUUGAAGCGUGGACGCCAGUCUGCGUGGAGCCAACCUUGAAAUACCACCCUUUAAUGUUUGAUGUUCUAACGUUGGCCCCUUACCGGGGUUGCGGACAGUGUCUGGUGGGUAGUUUGACUGGGGCGGUCUCCUCCCAAAGCGUAACGGAGGAGCACGAAGGUUAGCUAAUCCUGGUCGGACAUCAGGAGGUUAGUGCAAUGGCAUAAGCUAGCUUGACUGCGAGCGUGACGGCGCGAGCAGGUGCGAAAGCAGGUCAUAGUGAUCCGGUGGUUCUGAAUGGAAGGGCCAUCGCUCAACGGAUAAAAGGUACUCCGGGGAUAACAGGCUGAUACCGCCCAAGAGUUCAUAUCGACGGCGGUGUUUGGCACCUCGAUGUCGGCUCAUCACAUCCUGGGGCUGAAGUAGGUCCCAAGGGUAUGGCUGUUCGCCAUUUAAAGUGGUACGCGAGCUGGGUUUAGAACGUCGUGAGACAGUUCGGUCCCUAUCUGCCGUGGGCGCUGGAGAAUUGAGGGGGGCUGCUCCUAGUACGAGAGGACCGGAGUGGACGCAUCACUGGUGUUCGGGUUGUCAUGCCAAUGGCACUGCCCGGUAGCUAAAUGCGGAAGAGAUAAGUGCUGAAAGCAUCUAAGCACGAAACUUGCCCCGAGAUGAGUUCUCCCUGAGACUUUAAGUCUCCUGAAGGAACGUUGAAGACGACGACGUUGAUAGGCCGGGUGUGUAAGCGCAGCGAUGCGUUGAGCUAACCGGUACUAAUGAACCGUGAGGCUUAACCUUACAACGCCGAAG